rnacentral:rRNA from 1 species
CCUACGGGCGGCAGCAGUGGGGGAUAUUGGACAAUGGGGGGAACCCUGAUCCAGCGACGCCGCGUGAGUGAAGAAGUAUCUCGGUAUGGUAAGCUCUGUCAGUAGGGAAGAAAGCAAUGACGGUACCUGACCAAGAAGCCCCGGCUAAAUACGUGCCAGCAGCCGCGGCAAUACGGAGUGGGCAGGCGUUAUCCGGAAUCACUGGGUGUAAGGGGCGCGUAGAUGGCUGUGCAAGUCUGGAGUGAAAGGCGGGGGUCCAACCCCCGGACUGGUCUGUAAACUGUAUGGCUGGAGUGCAGGAGAAGUAAGCGGGAUGCCUGGUGUCGCGGUGAAAUGCGUAGAUAUUAGGAGGAACACCAGUGGCGAAGGCGGC